GACGAACGCUGGCGGCGUGCUUAACACAUGCAAGUCGAACGCUGAAGACCUGGCUUUUGUUGGGUUGGAUGAGUGGCGAACGGGUGAGUAACGCGUAGGUAACCUGCCUGGUAGCGGGGGAUAACUAUUGGAAACGAUAGCUAAUACCGCAUAACAGUCGACAUUGCAUGAUGUUGAUUUGAAAGGGGCAAUUGCUCCACUACCAGAUGGACCUGCGUUGUAUUAGCUAGUUGGUGAGGUAACGGCUCACCAAGGCGACGAUACAUAGCCGACCUGAGAGGGUGAUCGGCCACACUGGGACUGAGACACGGCCCAGACUCCUACGGGAGGCAGCAGUAGGGAAUCUUCGGCAAUGGACGGAAGUCUGACCGAGCAACGCCGCGUGAGUGAAGAAGGUUUUCGGAUCGUAAAGCUCUGUUGUAAGAGAAGAACGAGUGUGAGAGUGGAGAGUUCACACUGUGACGGUAACUUACCAGAAAGGGACGGCUAACUACGUGCCAGCAGCCGCGGUAAUACGUAGGUCCCGAGCGUUAUCCGGAUUUAUUGGGCGUAAAGCGAGCGCAGGCGGUUAGAUAAGUCUGAAGUUAAAGGCUGUGGCUUAACCAUAGUACGCUUUGGAAACUGUUUAACUUGAGUGCAGAAGGGGAGAGUGGAAUUCCAUGUGUAGCGGUGAAAUGCGUAGAUAUAUGGAGGAACACCGGUGGCGAAAGNCGGCUCUCUNGGUCUGUAACUGACGCUGANGGCUCGAAAGCGUGGGGGAGCAAACAGGA
rnacentral:rRNA from 1 species